GUGAGGAAUAUUGGUCAAUGGGCGGGAGCCUGAACCAGCCAAGUCGCGUGAAGGAAGAAGGAUCUAUGGUUCGUAAACUUCUUUUGCAGGGGAAUAAAGUGCGGGACGUGUCCUGUUUUGUAUGUACCCUGAGAAUAAGGAUCGGCUAACUCCGUGCCAGCAGCCGCGGUAAUACGGAGGAUCCGAGCGUUAUCCGGAUUUAUUGGGUUUAAAGGGUGCGUAGGUGGUUUGAUAAGUCAGCGGUGAAAGUUUGCAGCUUAACUGUAAAAAUGCCGUUGAAACUGUCGGACUUGAGUGUAAAUGAGGUAGGCGGAAUGCGUGGUGUAGCGGUGAAAUGCAUAGAUAUCACGCAGAACUCCGAUUGCGAAGGCAGCUUACUAAGCUACAACUGACACUGAAGCACGAAAGCGUGGGGAUCAAACAGGAUUAGAAACCCCUGUAGUCC
rnacentral:rRNA from 1 species